GGACACAACAUAGGUGUUUUUCCCUUGAAAGCUGCACUGGAUUCCAGGAGGCAGUGUUUGUAGAAGUGAUUUCAACCUGAAGAAUUAACAGGUCUGUGCGGGUUACAUAGUGGCGCCCGAACAGGGAUGGAAUCGGGUGCUCAAUAAGUGGUGCCUGAACACGGGACUUCAAGGAUGUGAACGAAGAAGGUCUACUGAAGCAGAGGAACUGAAAUUGGCAAGGCAGACAGGGACCCUGGGACAAGUCUGCCGGCAGUGGAUAUAAGGUCCCUAAAGAUGUGCUGGGAGCAGUGCUUUAAAGAAGUACUG
rnacentral:lncRNA from 1 species